rnacentral:tRNA from 1 species
GGGGUUGUGGCUCAGUGGUAGAGCGCUUGCCUAGCCUGCAUGAGGCACUGGGUUUGAUUCUCAACACCA